rnacentral:lncRNA from 1 species
GUCGCCCGCAGAAGACGGCGGUGAAUGGGACCGUGGUUCCCUUCUUGCCCGGCGGCUGGUUCGCGGCAUCGCCGCCUGACCCGCAGGGAAGGGAAGGGAAGGGGGUCGUCGGAAUGCGGAAAGUAGAGCUUGUAAGCGUCAGGAGUCGGAGGGCGGGAGGUAGGGAUGGGUGCCUUGGAAGGUUGUUUCUCUGCUUCGACCUUUCUGGAUUUGGGGAUCCGACUGCCCCAGGGUGUCCAUCUGAAGACAGGAGUUCAUCCCUUUACUCUAGCGCACGUGUGCGCGUGUCGUAGCCGGACGAACUGACAUCCUCUAUCUUUUCCAAACCUCUUAUUUUGAGGAUGCUGUGACGAUUCUAUCUAUGAUCAAGUUGUGAUUUUGUGGGUGGGUGGGGUGUAUUUUUAAAUGCUUCAAGAGCUGUCCAGAUACUUCCGUCGCUUUCACCCUCCCGCCGCGCCCCUUCAUCUGCCGCCCUCCUGGCAUUGUCCCAUGAAUCAUACGCGUGAAGGAGCCUCUGUGGAACAGGCAGCGCCCACGUCGGAAUGCCGAUGUGAGCCAGGGAAGUGGGCAGCAGAAGAAGGAUGGGUGAGACGAGGAAAGCUGCUUUUCUCCCCCCACUGCUGACCUUUCAAAAAUAUGUCCCAAACCGAAUAUCAGCUUCAGAAUUGCAUGAGGUCAUUUAUUCUUUAUGGCAGCGCUGAUUAACCGCUUUCCCUAUUAAUUUGUACAUAUUUAAAGUUAUGGACAAAUGCCUGUUUGUAAUAAACAGGAAUAAACGUUUAUUUCAGACUGUGCUUGUGCCACGCUCGCAGCUGGCCCUUGUACUGCUAGAGAUCAAUAUCAAAUAUCGAUGGUUGCUUACGUGAGAAGGAAACAAGGUUCACGGGACUCAGUCGAGUUUACUCCCGUGUAAACAUGGAUGGUUUCCUUAAAGUCAGUGGGUAGGAUCCAGACUUGGUCCCGUUUAGGAUAGGCCCACUGAAAUCAAUGGGUCUACUCUAAACAUGUCGGUGUUCAGCAUCACCGCUCAAUACAGGUUGGCAUUUUAAGGCUACUGAAUGAAGCUCAACCUUACUUUACCUCCCCUACCCCACCCCCCACCAGCCAGCCCCAUAACACCUACAAAUUAUGGGUCGUUUGGAAAGCCAUUUGUGUAAAUAGGAGGCGGGGCUCAGCCAUCGGCGCUGAAUCGCCUUUGCCUGGAGGGAGAGACAUAAAUCCGAUUUAAAAUACACAGUUGCAACAAUGCCGCGAUAAAUCGCCGCGAUUAGGUUGGCCGAGGGUGUUAAAUGAGGCGAACAGAAAAUUUACUUUUCCGGACUUGCGAACUAGGCGAGUCUUAAAUGGGCCGGGCGCUUUUCAUUAAGGCGAGUGAAUAUUUCAGAUUUCCCAGCUCAGUCCUCUGUGUGCCUAUCUGCUCAAAAGUAAAUCGCGUUGAGGUUAAUGGGAUUGCCUGAGACUGCAAUCUCAGACAUACUUACCUGAGAGUAAACCCCACUAGACACAAAUGUUUUGCUAGUAAUAGAACUGAGAUGCAUCCCGCGGGACUUCUGCAUAACCAUCAACAAAGGAUUGUGAGGUUUUAUCUCAUGGGCGGAAGAGCUACAAACUUUCUCUGAGCGACAGAGUGCUUAAACCUCCCUCUUCAAAUAUUGCGCCUUGAUCGAUUUCUCUGGUAAGUGGAGAAGUUGAUUCCACACCCAAAAACUUCGGUAGGAGGGAGGGGGUUGUCCUGUGUCGUGACUAGGAAAGAAGUCCCCAAAAAUGGUCCUCAGAGAAAGCUGCAAUGCUAAACCUACUGCUCUCGGGCUGGGGCUGGCCUUGAUCCCCCGGCUCAGCUAGGACGUGAAUUGCAGGGUCUGGGUGUUAAUGGUGCGCUUAUCCAUCAAGGUCUGCAUGACGGCGCUGUUAGCAACUAAUUAGCAAACACAAAGGGAGAGCGCAUCAGAGCUGGGGAGAAGGGCGGCGGCUCCAGGCUGCCGGCUCGAAUCCAGUCCUCGGAGAAAAAGGGCUGGCAGAGUGUGGAGCCGCUCAUGUCACCCACACAAAAGAAAGUGGCGUUGAAACUGUCAGUUGCCACCAGCCGGGAAGAUUUGCGGGCAGCAGAAUCAAUUAAUUUCACCUCCUGGGUUUUGGUCUUCGGUGGAAAGGCUCCUGGCAAGGGAGGAAAACAGCGCCAUCAGCAAUGCAUUCCUCUCUUCAAUUUUUAUAAAUUGUGGCUAUUAUUAUUUUUAUCAGUUGUGGCUACUAUUUUUUUAUGAAUUCAGGUAGUCUCCGCAGAGAAGCUCACCAACCUCCCCCUUACAAUAUUUUCCAUACUAGGUUAAGACUUGAUUAUCCACCCAGGCUUUUUAAACCUUUCUUUUAAAACAAACCAUGGGCCUUUGAAGGUGGUUUAAAUAAACUUUAUAGCUACCAUUUAUUAUUAUAUAUUAUAUUAUGUUAUGUUAUGUUUUAUGUUAUGUUGUUAUGUUAUGUUAUGAUGUUAUAUUAUUAAUGUAAUAUAAUAUAAAAUAGGCUUCUAUCACUGAAGGUGAAACCCACAAGAACCCCACAAGAUUCAUCAGAAGUGUGAACUGUGGAUGCACAAGUCAUUCAUGCCUUCACUUUUGCCACUUUGAUGUAACCUCCAAAGUUAAGCUUAGGUAAAGGAGACUCUGGACUCCCCCCGCCCCCCGCCCCCGCGCUUUGUACUCUGCUGCCUCCAUGCUAAAUAUGUUUGUGUGCAUAUGUCCUGUUGAUUUUGAGAAAGUGUAUUUAGCCUCACCAUAAAGAUCCCCUAAUGACUUGGG